UACGUAGGUGGCAAGCGUUGUCCGGAUUUAUUGGGUUUAAAGGGUGCGUAGGCGGUUCUAUAAGUCAGUGGUGAAAUACGGCAGCUCAACUGUCGAGGUGCCAUUGAUACUGUAGAACUUGAGUACAGACGAGGUAGGCGGAAUUGACGGUGUAGCGGUGAAAUGCUUAGAUAUCGUCAAGAACACCGAUAGCGAAGUCAGCUUACUAGGCUGUAACUGACGCUGAGGCACGAAAGUGUGGGGAUCAAACAGG
rnacentral:rRNA from 1 species